rnacentral:rRNA from 1 species
AUUCCAGCUCCAAUAGCGUAUAUUAAAGUUGUUGCAGUUAAAAAGCUCGUAGUUGGAUUUCUGCCGGGAGCGUCAUGUCUUUCGCCUUGUGCGACUGAACGUUGUCGUCUUUUGGCAUCCUUGCGGAGAUGCGUUUUGGCAUUAAGUUGUCGGGGCGUGGAUUCGCAUCGUUUACUGUGAAAAAAUUAGAGUGUUUAAAGCAGGCAAUUGCUGUGAAUACAUUAGCAUGGAAUAAUAAGAUAGGACUUGUUGCUAUUUUGUUGGUUUGCACGACAAGUAAUGAUUAACAGGAACAGUUGGGAGUAUUCGUAUUUAAUUGUCAGAGGUGAAAUUCUUUGAUUUAUGAAAGACGAACAACUGCGAAAGCAUUUACUAAGGAUGUUUUCAUCA